rnacentral:rRNA from 1 species
CCUACGGGGUGCAGCAGUGAGGAAUAUUGGUCAAUGGGCGCAAGCCUGAACCAGCCAAGUCGCGUGAGGGAUGACGGUCCUAUGGAUUGUAAACCUCUUUUGUCGGGGAGCAAGGCCCGCCACGUGUGGCGGGAAGGAACGUACCCGAAGAAAAAGCAUCGGCUAACUCCGUGCCAGCAGCCGCGGUAAUACGGAGGAUGCGAGCGUUAUCCGGAUUUAUUGGGUUUAAAGGGUGCGUAGGCGGAAGGUUAAGUCAGCGGUAAAAUGUCGGUGCUCAACACCGGCCUGCCGUUGAAACUGGUCUUCUUGAGUGAGCGAGAAGUAUGCGGAAUGCGUGGUGUAGCAGUGAAAUGCAUAGAUAUCACGCAGAACUCCGAUUGCGAAGGCAGCAUACCGGCGCUCAACUGACGCUGAGGCACGAAAGCGUGGGGAUCGAACAGGAUUAGAUACCCUUGUAGUC